rnacentral:rRNA from 1 species
GAUGAACGCUGGCGGCGUGCCUAAUACAUGCAAGUCGAGCGAACAGAUGAGGAGCUUGCUCCUCUGACGUUAGCGGCGGACGGGUGAGUAACACGUGGAUAACCUACCUAUAAGACUGGGAUAACUUCGGGAAACCGGAGCUAAUACCGGAUAAUAUAUUGAACCGCAUGGUUCAAUAGUGAAAGACGGUUUUGCUGUCACUUAUAGAUGGAUCCGCGCCGCAUUAGCUAGUUGGUAAGGUAACGGCUUACCAAGGCAACGAUGCGUAGCCGACCUGAGAGGGUGAUCGGCCACACUGGAACUGAGACACGGUCCAGACUCCUACGGGAGGCAGCAGUAGGGAAUCUGCCGCAAUAGGCGAAAGCCUGACGGAGCAACGCCGCGUGAGUGAUGAAGGUCUUCGGAUCGUAAAACUCUGUUAUUAGGGAAGAACAAAUGUGUAAGUAACUAUGCACGUCUUGACGGUACCUAAUCAGAAAGCCACGGCUAACUACGUG